rnacentral:rRNA from 1 species
GACGAACGCUGGCGGCGUGCUUAACACAUGCAAGUCGUACGGUAAGGCCCUUUCGGGGGUACACGAGUGGCGCACGGGUGAGUAACACGUGAGUAACCUGCCCACAACUUUGGGAUAACGCUAGGAAACUGGUGCUAAUACUGGAUAUGUGCUCCUGCUGCAUGGUGGGGGUUGGAAAGCUCCGGCGGUUGUGGAUGGACUCGCGGCCUAUCAGCUUGUUGGUGGGGUAGUGGCCUACCAAGGCGGCGACGGGUAGCCGGCCUGAGAGGGUGACCGGCCACAUUGGGACUGAGAUACGGCCCAGACUCCUACGGGAGGCAGCAGUGGGGAAUAUUGAACAAUGGGCGCAAGCCGGAUGCAGCAACGCCGCGUGCGGGAUGACGGCCUUCGGGUUGUAAACCGCUUUCAGCAGGGACGAAGCUUUUUGUGACGGUACCUGCAGAAGAAGCACCGGCUAACUACGUG